UCUGCCUACUAGAAUUACUGGUAACAGGUGAAAAAUAACUUCUUUUCAGUAUGGGAAGGACACACUCGGUACUGCUGGGUUUGGAAAGAACCAGUCAAAGCAGUGUUGGCUUCCUGAAUCAAACAACACCACAGUACCUAUUUCUCCUGGGAGAGGUAGUGUUACAGCUCUUGGAUGUGACAGUGGUAUCUGAUUGUUCCCAGCUGCCGAUCCUUUGUCAGCAGAUUCCUACGCAUGGGAUGUAUAUGAAUGGAAGCUACAUGGUCCUUUUUUUCCUACCGUGCUCCUGUGCUAUAUGGUCUUACCGAGAGAUCAGUAAGAGAAGAAAAGGGCUUUGGAGGUCACUGAUAAAAAUGUUAAAUAAAACUGGCCCCAGUAUUGAACGCUUUGGAACACCACCAGUGACCAGCUACCAACUGGACUGAACUCUGUUCACCUUGAGAGCAGCAAUCCAGACAGUAUUUCACACAGUAAACUUCACGUCUGUCCAAGCUAUGAGCAGCCAGUUUCUCCACAAGAAUGCUGUUGGUGUUACUUUACUAAAAUCCAGAAUACUUUGGUGUAUUUCUGAUUCAGUCUUCUGUAUGAAUCACAAUAAUGCAUUGUUUCAGACUGUAUUUAAUUGUUGCUAUCCCC
ensembl:lncRNA